UUAUUUUUUUCUUCAGAUUAACGGAUUGGCGUCGACUGGAUCUUACGUUCAGAGCGGACAGAAAGACAAGGCUGCCUCCCAGUCUCUCUUCACUGCCAGUUACGUCUACUAGACCAGUGCGCUUGUAGCCCGUCGGACUACGAUUCUGCGUUGUGUUCUGGUGUAUGGAUAAUGAACAGGACUCUGGACACUGGCUGCCGGUUUCUGGUCUUUUAUUCUGAAUUAGAUGAAAUAAAUGCAGUGAAUACAAUGGAAUGAAUGGUCAUGAGCUUCUCUAUGUUGCACGCAGUGCACACCUGACAUGAGGAAAAGUAAAGUGAGCGAGUGCUUACACGUGGGAAGCUACAGACACCCUGCUAGCAUGUACUGAAACUAGCUAGCCUAACAUUGCAACACUCGCUAAAAAAAACUCUUAACAAAUUACUAUUUCAUCACAAUCAAUUCGUUAGCAACACAACAAUGCUGGAAUACAUUCUAACAUAUUUACAUAAAGUUUCACUUGUUCUAAACUUUUAUAUUAUAUGUACAUUGGCGCAUACGCAAACACAUACCUCUCCUCAGUAGAGCCAAAGACAGCCUGAGGAGUAAAAACCGCGCGCUGCUGACUGGAUUGUCCCGCAGGCCAGAGCAAUACACCACAGAGCAAUCGAUACUCUCCACGGAUAUGUAAAAUAAAAACAAACGGAAGGAUUUGGGUGAAAUACAUACAAAUUAAUAUUAAUACUCGUUACACUGGCAGUAUCCCAGAAAAUACCACAGUGUUGGUCUUGUCUUUUAAUGUCCUUCUUAGCUCUCUGAAUUUGUUUUGCAGGGAUAUUGGCCUGUCUCUUCCAAUGUUGUUUGUACCGAUGUGGAUGACUACUACCGGGUCAUCUCCUGUUCGUUCUAGGAGCCUGUCCAUGUUCUCAGUGAUGUGCUUGACUGAGGCUCCUGGAAGGCAGCACACUGCUGUAGUAAGGGAGUCCAAACUGCGAACUGAACUUGCUGUGUUUCUCAAUAUGGAGUCCCCAACAAUCAUGACCUCCCUUCUUUUUGCUGCCUGGUCAGCACUGUUUAUAGGGUCCUGGGUGUUGUUUCUUUCAUUCUCUUGAUGUUGGUUUUGAUCAUCUAAAUGUUGAAGUGGCUCAGAUUUGUUGGAUGUCUGGAUUUCUGGUGGUUGUGUUUGAUGAAGUUUCUUUUUUUCCCUCCUUCUGCCUAUCUGAACCCAGCUGUUUUGACUCUCUUCCAUCUCCCUGGUGGCUUUCAGUCUGCUAGGGGUGCAGACAUCCAUGAAUUGUGGGUGUGUCAGCUCCUGAAGCUCCUGUUGCUGUCUCAUUUCCACCAGCUCCAUUUCUAACAGGCUUACUCGUUGAAGCAAAUCCUGGAUCGUGCGGCACUUCACACACACUUGGUUGAGCUCUGUUGGGUUUUCUCGGAUUUCCCACAUCAUGCAGUUGUCACAGAUUACUGGCUUGAAGACCAUGUUUGUUUGUUUUUUUAAAGUUUAGUUUAACUUCUGCAGCUGUCAACCUGCUUUCAAACUGCUUCUAACUGUGAAGUACUCGUCCACUCAUACUUCUCCCACGCUGUCGCUCCACAUGCUGUCACUGUGAAAACUGGCUGCCUUUUGUUUGUUUAGAACUGAGUUGCGAUGCUGGCUCCGCCCCUCCACCCGUGUCUCAGAACGGCGGCAAAUUUGAAUCAGCUGCUCCAAGUUUCAGCUCGUUAUCAGAAAAAGACACACAGCUGUUAGACUUUAAGCUGCAGUGUUUUCUGAUUAAAGCAAUUCAAGAUGUAAUUUAAAGGCAUGUUGCUUUUCUUUGUGGUGUGCUGGCUGACUUUGUGACCAGGCACUGUUCUGCCUAGCAACAGGAAGCCCCGCCUGGUUAGCAUCUCAGCCAAUGGCGAUCCAGGCAGGACUAUAUUAAGGCAGGGAUUUGAGAGCAAGGAGACAGGGAGACAGGGAGACAGGGAGACAGGGAGACAGGGAGACAGGGAGACAGGGAGACAGGAGUGUGUGCAGGCAGAAGCUCUCAGCCUUGGAAGAAUCAUUUGGAAUUUUGACUGUUUGCUGAACUGCUUUUCUUUUUUGGUGGAACACUGCAGAGGGAACUGGUCAGACUUUCAACCAUUGGAUCCAACGGGUCCGACAGAGACAACGGUGGACGGGAGGUUGUGACGAGUGCCAGGGAGCGUGGAAAGAGAGAAACGUGAAGUGAAAGACUGGCUGAAGGGAAGUGACCAGAACUUCAGAGGACGGGGUGUAGUUUACUUACCUGUGGUACAGUCCCUGAUGGCCCCUUUUUCUUUACCAUGCUUUCUGAUCGCAGGUUCUUCAGGGUGGUGGUCAAUCAGCUGGGAGAGGCCCAGCAGAGAGUGGCUGUCCUAUCAGCGACGAGGAGUCCGAUCACGGACUGAGCGAGUCGGAGGGGGAGACCCCGGGAGCAUGGGAUUUACCCCCGGACCAUUUACUUUUUUUGGUUUGUCUUGUCUCUGUGUUACGACUGAUUGUUUUGUUUUAUGUGGACCUUGUUUUUAUUUUCUCAGAGUGACCAACAGGAGGGGAUUGCCUCGAGUGUGCUGUGGAUUUUUUGCUUUUUGUUUUUUUGGCAUUCCCUGGUGUGGUCUUUUUAAACUUUAGUUUUAGUAUUUUUUUUGUAUCGUGUGUUUUUACUACCCUGUCAAGAAUAAAAAAAUGGUUUUACCCGA